ACUGAUAAAUAAGUGAUAAUCACUUGAAACUCGUUUGCUUUCUCAUCCUGAUGAUAGUGGACAGGUGUUCAACAAAUGGGUUAGUACUACAAAUGAUAAAUGAAGCAAGCUUUCAAGAAAUAAAAAGCCAUAAUAUAUAAAAUAAAAAUCAAGCAAAAUAUUUCGCAACUGUGGUUAAGUUUCAAGCUCUAUUGUGGUGUAAUACGGUUCAUAUUCAAACAACUAACACAAGCACCACUGACCUUUGUGUCCGUACUUCUAGCGUGUAGCAAACCAUAAUACUACUUCAUCUUGUGGCAUAGACAGGCACCAUAUAACUUGUAACCUCUUUGAUAAAGUACAUAUAACUUGUAACAUUAACUCUGAUAUAAUAAAAAAAAACAAUGAGUGGUAUUCUACAGGUACUCUAAUAAAACAAGUAUAAUCAAAAUGUACAUUUGUUAUAUUUCACAUAAAAAAUACAUUUAACAAUUAUGAUACAGCGGGCUUGCGUUUGUGUAACAUCAAUAAUUAACACAUAUUUACACACUUAGCACUACAGCGGCUGUAUAGCUACUUCAACCUUUAACAUUUUUGAGCUCCAAUUAUGUACGUCCGAGUGCAAUCACUAUUUUAUUUUAAUUCAUUUGAACCGACUAGAUGAGAAGACAGUACGUCUCUAGCAGUUGCAAGCGUUCCUAGCACUUCAUACAUAUAAUAUUAUAGCACAUACAUACGUUGGAAGGAAAAUAUACUUAGGUAAAUAGAGCUACGAGAGCGAAGAUAGAUUAGUGGCGGCCGACACCGGCGGUCAGUUGUUAGCAGAAACAUGAAUCGUAAUGAACAUUCAAAACUUAUUAUUAGGAUUUAAUUUAGAUUUUAACGAUAGACUAGCUAAACUUUAAGAAAUGGAGCAUAACAUUAUCUAGAUAUAGAUCUACAGAAAAUGGAAAGACAGAUAUUCAAAGACACAAAAUUAGUAUUGCUCUAGGGUUGAACAGUCGAUACAAUAUUGUAUAACAGUAAAUAUAUUGUAUUCUUUCGAAAAUUCUGUAUUUUAUUACACAUCUAGUUUUAGUUCCCUGCCAGGUUCACUUCUGGCUAGUUAUUAUUAUUUUAACAGAGUAAAUGGCUAAGAAACGGCCAUCCCUUCUAUUUAUAAGCUUCUCCAACUACUUGCUAUUCAUUAAACUAUACCACAUUUUCUUCUAUCAUAAUAGUGCUGAUAUCAACAAAAGAAAAAUUACAUUAUAUUUUGUUAACAGAAUUUAUGAAUACUUUGCACAAUUAGCUAUUUACAGACAUUAUUAUAAUCUCUAAUUGUAUUCGUUCUAGCUGACUUCUACCUGGCCUAAUUCGCUAGCUGUU